UGCGUAUGUCCUUUGGACACUUCACAGCAUGACAACACACACUAAGGCAAGUUAUUGGUUUAGCCAGGGCCUUCCUAGCCAUCCCUAUCUGUAUGUUUUCCCUUCGUGAACCCCGUUGAGCCUUAGCCAUUUUAUUCAUAAUAAACCCCAUGUUAACCACUAAUCAUUCAUUUCUUCCAUCACUCGUCAUUCAUUUCUUCCAUCACUCGGCAUGAUUGUUGUAAGUUACAAGAUGUGCAUAAAGCUAAGUUUGGGGUGGUAAUCUUGAAAGAUAGAGUAAAUGCAUAAUAAGAGAUCAUACAAAA
rnacentral:lncRNA from 1 species